CAAUAAGCUCCAGUUAGCUGCGGCCUUUUCCCCAGGCGGUAGUCCUGCAAUCUGAAUCCAGGAGAUGCAGCUCUGAAUCCAAUAUUUCAGAAGAAUGAAGAUGGUCAAGACAGAUUUUACCCAACUGAGGCCGCAGGAAACUGUUUAAAGUAAGCCGGAAGAAGCUGUUGAGAUCUGCAUAAUACUUUCAAGAACCAUGCAAUUGAUGGAUCCGUUUCAAAUGUUCAAGCCACGAUCAGUGUUACCGGUACGCAAACAUCACCGAAAGGACGAGUCCAAAAACUCUCACCUGAUUCGUUAAGUAGGCAAUAAACCCAAGACAUCAAAAAUACCUUUGUUUUAUCUCAUUUUAUUAAUGCAGUUCAUUCUUGAUACGCAAAACUGAAACAUUAAAAUACAAUGUGUACUCAAUAAAAGUGAUGUCAUAUUGACUCAUCGUGAACAAUACAAAUUAUGAAAGUUAAACCGCUGACUAAGCAAGGCACAAAUGGUUCAUUAUAAUCAUCAUAAAAGAAACAAAUCAUUAAAACAUCUUUGAAAUGCAUAG